UUAACUCAAUGAUUAGAUUUACUAUUUAUUGUUUUACAUGGUUUACAAACUGAUGUGACACGUAUCAAUGACAAAACAACAUGCAAAACAGGCAAUCCCCCCUAAAAAUGUGGGGCUCAAAACAGGUGGGGCUCAAAACAGUGGGGCUCAAAACAGUGGGGCUC